UACGGGGGGAGCAAGCGUUGUUCGGAUUUACUGGGCGUAAAGGGCGCGUAGGCGGCCAGCACAAGUCAGUUGUGAAAUCUCCGAGCUUAACUCGGAAAGGUCAACUGAUACUGUGCGGCUAGAGUGCGGAAGGGGCAACUGGAAUUCUUGGUGUAGCGGUGAAAUGCGUAGAUAUCUGGAGGAACACCGGUGGCGAAGGCGGCAUCCUGGGACCGGUAUUGACGCUGAGGCG
rnacentral:rRNA from 1 species